rnacentral:rRNA from 1 species
UACGUAGGGUGCAAGCGUUGUCCGGAAUUUAUUGGGCGUAAAGAGCUCGUAGGCGGUUUGUCGCGUCUGCUGUGAAAACCCGAGGCUCAACCUCGGGCCGCAGUGGGGUACGGGCAGACUAGAGUGCGGGUAGGGGAGAUUGGAAUUCCUGGUGUAACGGUGGAAUCGCAGAUAUCAGGAGGAACACCGAUGGCGAAGGCAGAUCUC